CACCAGAACGGUGGAGCAUGUGGUUUAUUCGAAGCAACGCGAAGAACCUUACCAGGUCUUGACAUCCUCUGACAACCCAAAUAGAGAUAGGGCUUAAACUCCCCCUUCGGGAGCAGAGUGACAGGUGGUGCAUGGUUGUCGUCAGCUCGUGUCGUGAGAUGUUGGGUUAAGUCCCGCAACGAGCGCAACCCUUGAUCUUAAUUGCCAUCAUUAAGUUGGGCACUCUAAGGUGACUGCCGGUGACAAACCGGAGGAAGGUGGGGAUGACGUCAAAUCAUCAUGCCCCUUAUGACCUGGGCUACACACGUGCUACAAUGGACGGUACAAAGAGCUGCAAGACCGCGAGGUGGAGCUAAUUUCAUAAAACCGUUCUCAGUUCGGAUUGUAGGCUGCAACUUGCCUAAUGAAUCUG
rnacentral:rRNA from 1 species